UUAUUGGGGGGUUAUGGGGCAGAACAUUUCUUGGUCCGUCACCGUGAAGGAACCAGCAACAUUUGGACAGAGCCUGUCGUGAGGGCCCGGCUGUGAGCCUGGUGCGAGUGUUGUGGAUGUUUGUCUGGAGUGCGUGUGGUGAGCAUGUUUUGUUUGUCUCUGCUUGGCUCUCUCUCUCUCUCUCUCUCUCACUCUCUCUCUCUCUCCAGUCUGGGAGCUGGGGGCGUGUCUGCUGCGGGCUCUGCACUCACCUGAGACUCAUCCUCAAUCAGCGCACCUGACCAGCCACGGUUCAAAUAAGAGGCUCAGACAUCCAGUCCCCCGCUGGAUCGUUGAAUCUCCACGCACCUCCACCACCUCAGCAAACCGCCAGCCUGUAAGCUCUCGGUUCCGCCCGCAGCCUGGACACUUCCCCGCUCUCGGAUUUCCCACCUACCCUGGAUCUGGGAGAGAGCCUCAGCCUCAAACCUCUGACUUCCCCUGCUCAUUCUCUUCUGAAUAAACUGUCUAACUCAGA